rnacentral:rRNA from 1 species
GAUGAACGCUGGCGGCGUGCCUAAUACAUGCAAGUCGAGCGAACAGAUAAGGAGCUUGCUCCUUUGACGUUAGCGGCGGACGGGUGAGUAACACGUGGGUAACCUACCUAUAAGACUGGGAUAACUUCGGGAAACCGGAGCUAAUACCGGAUAACAUUUGGAACCGCAUGGUUCUAAAGUGAAAGAUGGUUUUGCUAUCACUUAUAGAUGGACCCGCGCCGUAUUAGCUAGUUGGUAAGGUAACGGCUUACCAAGGCAACGAUACGUAGCCGACCUGAGAGGGGGAUCGGCCACACUGGAACUGAGACACGGUCCAGACUCCUACGGGAGGCAGCGGUAGGGAAUCUUCCGCAAGGGGCGAAGGCCUGACGGAGCAACGCCGCGUGAGUGAUGAAGGGUUUCGGCUCGUAAAACUCUGUUAUUAGUGAAGAACAAACGUGUAAGUAACUGUGCACGUCUUGACGGUACCUAAUCAGAAAGCCACGGCUAACUACGUG